AGAAAAAAAGAAGUCCAAUACGAUAGGACCUUUCCUCAUUUUAGCUCAUCUUGCAGAAAUCUCAUUGGAAGAGAAGUCAAAAAAGAGGUCGGCCACAGAGGUGCCAUUGUGUAUGGACGCCCCAGCCCCCGCCCCUCCUCGACUGCCCCCAUCCAGGCGGGCACAGCACACUGGGACAAGCGGUGUCCUUCAGACCCUUGCCUACAUCAUGCGAUGCGGCCAUGCUUGCUUCUAGGGCCAUCUCCAACAUCACCUCCCACUUUGACCCAACACUUGGCUUCUAUGGCAAAGACCAUGCCGUCCCGUGGACCGCGGAUACAGCCAGACCAGCUGCAGGUCUCCAGGAGGACAGGGCCGUGGCCUGGCCAGGGGCCUGGAACGGUCUCAUGAAGGAGUCAUUAGUAGAAAAAAAUAUAAACAUGCCAUCCCUGCCACCAGGAUAAAGAGACUCUGUGAGGCCCAAGAAGAUGCCUUUACUGAAGUCAAUGUUGCUCACAGUUACUUCAAGAAGUUGUCCACGUUUGGCAGAGACCAAGCUGAAGUCUUUUAAAAGGAGCCAAUGCUGAGAAACUCUGAGAAUCAGACAGUCCCACCCCCAGCAAAAACAAAACAAAACAAAAAAAAAACCAACCCUGGAGA